GGAAAGAGCUUGCAGGGCUCCUGGAUAGAACUGUACUUUAGCAAUGAUAGGAAGGGGAACAGUGCUCCAACAUCAGUUUCUGUUUAUAAUGGUGACAUGAAUAGUGACAUGGAAAAAAUACAGCUGGAUGCUUAAAAUGAAUUUGGACAGAGUAGCUCCAAAAGUUCUGUGACAGCCUACCUCUUUUACAGACAUUGGAGAAAAAUAGCUCUCAGUCUGAGGAAGAUACUGAGAAAAGGAAAGAAGUUGAAAGCAUCUUGAAGAAAAAUUCAGAUUGGAUAUGGGAUUGGACAAGUUGGCCAGAAAAUAUUCCCCACAAGGAGUUCCUCUUUAAAGCACCUGAAGCACGUAGCUACCCAGCAUGGAAUUUAAAGCCUGAUGAGGAAAGGGGGCAUUUUCUCAGCAGAAUUUCCAAAGGGUUUUGCUGCUGUCUCAUCUGGUGGCCAUGGGAUUGGGGAUCUAUAUUGGAAGGCAUCUGACAACUUCUACCAGCACCUU
rnacentral:lncRNA from 1 species